AUAAAGAAAUGAACUCAAAUGUGCUGAGAAUGUUCCAAAGCCAAGCAACUAUCCUGCACCAUUCCCAGAAAGAAGUGGGAUAGUUGUAUGCUAAAUAACCAUUGGACAACCACACUCUCACCAAUCUCUAAGAACAUAUGGUUCUCAGAACAUUAUGUGCUAGCUGGGAACACUCAAAAGAUUACAAUAGUACUUAAACCCAUGUCUGGAGAGAGGACACCUCCGGAACAGAGGCUAAGUAAAACAUCCCUACAUCCUCACAGGCCCAAGGUCACAGCCUGGUUGUCCAGUGACAGUGCAGAAUGCAUCAAAGGUUCCUCUAUUGCCUUCUCCAUCCUCGGUCAAGACGAAUAAUAUGAUCAUAUGAGUCUGAGUGCAUCCCUGUAAUAACCUAACGUCAUGUCUUCCUUCUUCCAGCCACUGUGUCUGAGUCUGAGUGUCCUGGUCGCAGAGAACCCAGCUGAGAGGUCAGGCGUCGAGCGAGUAGGUGCCAUGGUGUGGGAUACCGUCAUGUCUGCCUGGUGAGGUGAGGGAGGGAGACGGGAGAGGAGAUGGAAAAUGGCCCUGGCUGUUUGCACCAUGUGGAGAGGACACCUAGCCAGUCUCCAUAUCCUCAGGGCUCCUGGGGUCAGGACAUUAAAGCUAGGGGUGAGAUAGCUGUCCCUCUCUGACUGGAGCUCUUUGAUGACUUGAGGGAAGCCUUUGUGUGUGUGUAAUAGCCAGUAGGACCCGGAUAAACAGGCCCUUUCUGCCCACUAAAAGCCUUUGUUGUCUGGUAUGUGUGGAGAUGGGGUGGUGGAGGGUUAAGACGUCCGCAUGCUGUCCAUCCGGAACAGUUCGUGCACAUAAUAUGGAAACAUUUUGUGCCGUUAUAGUUUUUUUGAACCUUUUUUUUUACUGUUUGUGCAUACAAUAUUUCUUUCUAGAGGCAACCCGAAAUUCGGUUGCCGAAGUCUAUGCCCCUUCGGUGGUGAUUGGUCAACUGUAGGAGCGAAGAUUCAACCCGAAACCCAUUGUGGAUUCAAAAUGGCAAAUGACAACAACUAAAAUAGUUGGUGGGGGUUCUUGCAGGAACAUAACUGCCCAACUGAAUCAUUUGGAUUUGAAUUUGAAACAGGUGCAGGAACAUAACUGAAAAAUGUAAAGAUCUCCUCAAUUUAAGGUAUGUUUUGUCCCUUGUAUGAUCUAAAUUGAUAUUGUUUUAUGAUGAUACCAUCUAUCAUUUAAUAUUUGUGGAAAUCUUUUUAAAAUAGAAAAUGGACCCAAUUCAAUGGACAUCAAUCAACAAAGAGGUAUACAGACGAGGAGGCAUACAAAGGUAUUGGUAUGUUAUGCAGAUCACAUUUAACAUCCUCCUCCCUUACCUCUUCAAUAAACAUCCCAUAGGCCUCUACAUUAUGGACAAGACUUCACCCUCCCUACACCUCUGACUAAUAUAACAGGAAAAAUGUUUGAUCACCAUGCACUGCAAAAUCAUUGUGGCUAUGGAUACGGAGAACAUCAACAUUGUCAAGGAUUUCCUCCUCUUCUUCCGAAGAGGAGAGGCGAAAAGGAUCAGAGGACCAAUAUGCGGCGUGGCCCUGACACCUAUAGCUGAUUUCAUGGAUGACCUAUCGCCAAAACGAUCACCAGCUGCAUGAGUUCGUGCAUGACUUCAAGAAGAGGACAUGGACCAAACGACUGAGAACACAGUGAAAUGAACAACUUGUUCUGUUGUUGUUCAGAUAUCUCAGGAAUCCAGCCUGGUCUCAUAGACUAGACGUAACAUAGUAAAUGUUCAUCCGGGCCACUAAAAUGUGUACGAUAUGUCCCGUUUGGUUUGGUUACACAAGACAGAUGGUUACUUUAGGCAAAAAAAGAAAGAAGGGUGGUUGGUCGGGCAUAUUAACACGAACAUCUAGCAAUUGUGAGUUUGAAUCUCAUCAUGGACAACUUUUGCAUUUUAGCUAAUUAGCAACUUUUCAUCUACUUACUACUUUAAAACUACUUAGCACGUUAACUAUCCCUUCCCCUAGCCUUAACCCUUUUAGCGAAUAUACCAUAUGAAACUUAACAUAUCAUAUUAAAUGGAGCGUGCCAGAUUUACGUACAGAAUAAUACGAAAUGCUCCGAGACCAGGUUGAGGAAUCAGGGGAUUGUCACGUACGUUAUAUGAAUCGGGCCAAGGCGCAGCGUGGUAUUCGUACAUUCUUUAUUUAAUUAAGAAUAAACACUGAACAAACUAACAAAAACGACACGUGAAGAUAUACAAAUGAGUGCUGACAGGCAACUACACAUAGACAAGAACCUACAAACACAAAAUGGCAAAUGGCUACCUAAAUAUGAUCCCCAAUCAGAGACAACGAUAA